AGAUGCAUAAAGCGGGCAUAGAGCUGAUGCUGGUAGCUGCCAUUGGCACAUGCACAUAAGAAAAUAUGGGGUCAAUUGAUCCAACAAAAAAGAUUGUCUCCGUAUACACACACACAUAAGUAGGAAAAAUCAAAAUUAACCCCAUUAAUUUUAUAAAUUAACUUCAUAUCUCAUAUAAAAUUUUGAAGAAAUAAAGGAUAAAAAA
rnacentral:lncRNA from 1 species